rnacentral:miRNA from 1 species
UCCUCACGUCUUCUCUCCCUUCC